rnacentral:lncRNA from 10 species
GUUCAAGUGUACAAAAACUUAUUCUUGAAUUAGAAUGGCAGCUGAAGAAAUGGUAAAUCAGUUGAAUCUUAGAAAGACUAAGAAGCAAGAUUUAGAAAGAGCUGAUCACUCUAAAGGCAAAGAAACGCUGUAAUCAAGCCUCAUUCUAGAUGGUCCUGGAAGACUGUGAGUUUGGAGGCUAUGUAAUCAGAAAGCCAAAAUAAGAAAGAAGAAAUGGUUUGUAGGUUUAGAUAGAUGAAGAUUUUAAUCAAAUGGAAUGAGUUCAAUAAUUAUGAAGACACACGUGAGGAAAUUUGUGAACUGGAGAAAUAAAACAGGAGCAAGAUUAUCAAGACCCGUCUACAUUUGUUAUUUUUUUUUCUCACUUUUAGUGCAGUAUUCUUAGUUCAGUGUAAUGUGCUAAAUUAAUGAUUACACUAAGCUGAUAUAAUUAGAUGAUCGAUUUCUUUGCCAAACAAAGAGAAGAUAGACGAAACACUGGAAACUUUAGUGGUCAGUGUGAACUAUUACAAAUCUAGAGUAGAAAAUCUGACAUUUAGAUCUAUGCUUUGAACUGUAUGUUUCUGGGAUGAUAUGGUUUGUCUGUGUCCUCACCCAAAUCUCAUGUUGAAUUGUAGUUCCCAUAAUCCAUACAUGUUGUGGGAGGGACCCAGUGGGAAGUGAUUCGAUCAUGGGAGCAAUUUCCCCCAUACUGUUCUCAUGAUAUGAGUGAGUUCUCAUGAGAUCUGCUGGUUUUAUAAGUGUCGCAUUUCCUCUGCAGGCACAUCUCUCUCCCGCCACCUUAUAAAAAAGAUGCCUUCUUUCCCCUUUGCCUUCUGCCAUGAUUGUAAAUUUCUUGAGGCCUUCCCAGCCAUGUGGGACUAUGAGUCAGUCAAACCUCUUUCCUUUAUAAAUUACCCAGUCUCGGUAUUUUCUUAGAGCAAUAUGAGAACAGACUAAUACAGCAAAUUGACACCAAGGGUGGGGUGCUGCUAUAAGAAUACCCCAAAAUGGCCAGGUGAGGUGGCUCACAACUGUAAUCCCAGCACUUUGGGAGGCCAAGGUGGACAGAUCAUAAGGUCCGGAGAUUGAGACCAUCCUGGCCAACAUAGUGAAACUCCAUCUCUGCUAAAAUACAAAAAAAUAGUCUGGCAUGGUGGCAUGUGCCUGUAGUCC